rnacentral:rRNA from 1 species
UACGUAGGGUGCAAGCGUUGUCCGGAAUUAUUGGGCGUAAAGAGCUCGUAGGCGGUCUGUCGCGUCGGCUGUGAAAACUCGGGGCUCAACUCCGAGCUUGCAGUCGAUACGGGCAGGCUAGAGUUCGGCAGGGGAGACUGGAAUUCCUGGUGUAGCGGUGAAAUGCGCAGAUAUCGGGAGGAACACCGGUGGCGAAGGCGGUUCUCUGGGCCUUACCUGACGCUGAGGAGCGAAAGCGUGGGGAGCGAACAGG